rnacentral:tRNA from 1 species
GGGGGUGUAGCUCUAACUGGGAGAGCGCUGCGUUCGCAUCGCAGAGGCUGGCGGUUCGAAUCCGCUCACCUCCA